rnacentral:lncRNA from 1 species
AGGAAUUUAAGGAGGAUGGUGCUGUUAGCAUUUUCUGCAGUAAUUUUCAAAGAGGAAAGUCAGGAGCAUGCUGGAAGCUGGCCUUGAGAACUCAGAUACUGGUGCUGAGGAAACUCAGAAAUCUUUUGUUGAAUACAAGAGUAACUUAGGGAAUAAGGAUUUCAAUUUGAAAACAGAGGCAGUAGCAACAAAACCAGCAGCAGCAGCACCACCACACAAUGAACAGAUCCUUCCUGGCAAGACUCACAUGAAAUCAUUAUGCAGAUGUACCAAAAUCUUUGGAAAAUACCUGACACCCUACAAGUCCUUGGUAAAAAUCAAUUGUCAGUAGGAUUUCCAGAACAGCACAGAGGGAGAAGCACACUCAAAUUGCUGGCUGCAGCGCUCCUAGCACACUCUUGCAUGGAUGCUCAGCAAUGCUCCAAGAAAGCCACGUCUUUCUCUAUGUAGCAGUACGCAGUGUGUGAAAGUGCUUAAAAAAAAAAUCUCUGUUCACAUGCUUCUUAAGGCAUGGAGCUCUACAGCAUGAUUAGAACAUGAUUAGAAUUUAUCCUUUCUCAGUGACUCAUCUUCUUUCACUUCCUUUCCUCAGGAUUCAGUUCUCCCUAGCCCACUCCAAUGUUGGCUCUUUUGAGGUCUUGCUUCUGGAGAACAUCCUAUCUUACAUUUUACAGACUGAAGUAAUUCCAUCAGCUAAUGCUAAACUGUCAAAGGGAUUCCCUCUUCCCAAUCUGGCCAAUGUUACCUUGACAAGACCUCACAUUACAAUUGUACAGGGAUAUGUGUUGAUUUCAACUGAUGUCCACGACAAACACUAA